rnacentral:rRNA from 1 species
UACGAAGGGUGCAAACGUUGCUCGGAAUUAUUGGGCGUAAAGCGCACGUAGGCGGCGCUGCAAGUCCCAUGUGAAAUCCCACGGCUCAACCGUGGAAGUGCAUGGGAAACUGCAGUGCUUGAGUACUUAAGAGGAUCGCGGAAUUCCCGGUGUAGAGGUGAAAUUCGUAGAUAUCGGGAGGAACACCAGUGGCGAAGGCGGCGAUCUGGGAAGAUACUGACGCUGAGGUGCGAAAGCGUGGGGAGCAAACAGGG